rnacentral:lncRNA from 1 species
UUGUUCCCUGCCUGAGGCAGGCUGUGGCUUUCUUGUUGACCUUUUGCCCACUCAUGUGUGAAUCAUUUUUACCCCACUCAUGUACCCAUCCAUAGCUGAUACCACAACAGAAUCUCAAGAAAACACUGUCAUGACCAAGAGAGAUAGAGCCAUACCAGUUAAAAAGAAACAAACAACAAUCCCAUUGCAUUGCUAGUCCCAUUUUAUGGAUAGGAAGCUGAAGCUCAGACAGUGACUCACCCGACGUCACUCAGUGAGUAGCAGGAAUAAUAAAUCCUUCAGCUGCAUUUCUACUGGACAAUAUAUGAGGGUUCCAAGUUAUCCACAGCCUCACCAGCACUUGUUAUUCCUCUCUUUCUCUCUCACACACACGCAUGCGCACACACAUACACACACGCAGACCCACCAGCUACAUUUGGCAGCUGGUUGAUCCCAAAUUUGCUGCUAGGAGUAAGAUUUGUGGGCUCGGCCUGAAUCCUUGGGACCAAUUUCAGUGCAAGUGACAUGAUGUUCCGCCCCCUUUACCAGCCAUUCCCCUCGCCUUGGUUUACCCAUCUGUAGAGUGGGUGGAUCUAAUUCGAAAAUCCCCAAGGCCAAGUUCUAAGAUUCGCUAAGCGCCAAAGGGACUGAGAACGAUGAAGAGGCCCAAGGUUCAUUGGGCCCAGGCGGCAGUUGCUACUGCUCCGGGGACCAAGCCCAGAGAAGGCCGAGAGGGCUCAGCGCAGCACAGGGAUGCAGGCAGUGGGUGAACAGAGAUACCCUCGAGUAGGGAGCAGGACUGUUCUUCAUCUUUCCAAAAAAAAGAAAAAAGAAAGAAAAAAGAGAGAAAGGCGGAGAGAAGAUAGAGGAGAAAGUAAAGAAAAGGAAGAAAGUAAUACUGCAAAUUUUCAACGGGAGCCGCGUCUGCGGCAGAAGACCCAGGUAAAGACAUUGGUCUGGGUCGCAAAAUACGGCGAGAACUCCUUGGAGGACAGGCUGGACCCAGAGGUCGCCUCCAGCUCCCAGAAUCAGACCUCAGGGCAUUCUCGCCAAGGCAAACCGCGGGACAGCUUGGAGGGAAACAGCCAUAAUCUGGAUCAAACUGAAUUCAUUUGAGUCAUUUUCCCCGGGCAGCCGGAGCCAGUCCGCGGAGCUGGCCCAGGCAGGGGGCCCGAGAGUGGGAGAGAAAGGGAAGGGGCGCCCGGGUCCGCAGGGUAGGUGGAGUCUGCGGUGGAAGAUGGAGCCGCCAGGGGUGCGACCGGGACCUCUGUGGCUUUUCCUACUCUAAAGAAACUCCCGGAUUCUUUCACCGCCCAAUCGGCAAAGAUGGAGAACAAACUACCCUCUUAAGACGCAGCAACAAGCAACUGCCUUUUCAGAAAGGGAGAAAAUCCCUCCUCCUAAAAAACCCCUCAGUAAGUAGUGAUCCCUGGGGAGAAGAAGGGAGGAGAUUCUAGUAUUAUCGGAAAUGUUCCAACUCUCUACAAGAAAAACACAGUCAUGAUUAAUUGUAUAAUUUAAAUAGAACUGUAAAGCAUUUUAUAAAGAAACGAGAUGAUUGCAUUUAUAAAGAAACGAGAUGAUUGCAAGAACCAUAUGGAAGGUAGUUGGACUCCAGUGGGGGACCGGGUGGGAGUGUGCAUAUCCCGAGGGCCUUUGCUUCUCCCUUUACAUUUUGCUGUUUCUGGAAGCGGGGAUAAUUUUGUAAAACGCUGGUCACCACGCUCCGCCCGGGCCAGAUCCGAGGGCUUGAGGGACCCCAGGCCAAGGCCUUUAGGGUACCAAAGCUUGGAGGCCCGGGGGCUGGGAAAAGUCGCGGUUGCCUUGGAGAGCUAAUCGACCUUUCGGCCCCAGGUGAAAUUGAAAGAAGCCUUGGCCAGGGUUUUGGUGUUUCCCGACUCGGGUCCAGCGGACUGGAGGCCUCAACGCCCGCAAUGUGGCAUUAACUCUUCCUUGCUCGCCGGGAACUCGGCUUGAGCUGCCAGUGAAAGUGAGCAUUUAGCUCCAGUGAAUCCGUAGCAUUCUGGGGAGUCUGGGAGCGCCAGCUGCGUAUGAUCAUCUGUAAAAUGGGGUAAUAAAUAACGGUGCCCUGCCCAUUCUCUGCUCCCCGGGUGGGCUUCGGUGUGUACCAAAUGACGCCCUUUCAUUGAGUGCGGGGAAGCGCUUUGAAACCUUGUAGAGCCCCAAUUGCACCCGUCCGAGGAAAACGCUCGGGUGACCCUUCUCCGAGAGACAGGUUAUUCACGCCU